GAUGAACGCUGGCGGCGUGCCUAAUACAUGCAAGUCGAGCGAACAGACGAGGAGCUUGCUCCUCUGACGUUAGCGGCGGACGGGCGAGUAACACGUGGAUAACCUACCUAUAAGACUGGGAUAACUUCGGGAAACCGGAGCUAAUACCGGAUAAUAUAUUGAACCGCAUGGUUCAAUAGUGAAAGACGGUUUUGCUGUCACUUAUAGAUGGAUCCGCGCCGCAUUAGCUAGUUGGUAAGGUAACGGCUUACCAAGGCAACGAUGCGUAGCCGACCUGAGAGGGUGAUCGGCCACACUGGAACUGAGACACGGUCCAGACUCCUACGGGAGGCAGCAGUAGGGAAUCUUCCGCAAUGGGCGAAAGCCUGACGGAGCAACGCCGCGUGAGUGAUGAAGGUCUUCGGAUCGUAAAAUUCUGUUAUUAGGGAAGAACAAAUGUGUAAGUAACUAUGCACGUCUUGACGGUACCUAAUCAGAAAGCCACGGCUAACUACGUG
rnacentral:rRNA from 1 species